rnacentral:lncRNA from 1 species
GAACAGCCUCCUCCAAAAUGCAGCUUGAGUGUGAUCCACGGCAAAAUGCUGAAAUAACUCUGCCAGGUUCUAGAAGCUUUAAGAUUCAUCCCAUUGAACUUGAUACAUACACAACAGUAGCUUGAAAAUGAACCAUCUGCUAGUUCAGUAUUUUCUCCUUAUAAUCACUCCCUCCCAGGGUAUAUAAUUAAUUUACUGCGCUUUAAAAGAAAAAAGU